AUGUCGCUACACUACCAUGUUUUCCUCUUUCGGAAGGAUGGCCUACUCAAGGAGCCAUUAUCAGCCACUAGCACGCAAGGCCAGGUUCCGCCACUCGGGGAAGCACAAGAGGAGGUCGAGGAGCCAAAUAAAAUUGUGUUGCCAAUGUUGAUGUACUCGUCAUCCACAAGGCGGUGGGAGGACCGAGAGUUCACUCCUGGGCAUUGUGCCCCAGGGUACCUCUACGACAUGGGUUGCAGAAUGCCUGAGACCUACGACGGUGCAUUUCAUUCAUCUAAUUACUGGAGUGGGUCUGUCUACAUACAUUGCCACAACAGUAUUCUUGUGAUCCUGCGCCCCUUCAAGGGAACUUAUGAUAUGGUCCAGCUUCCCGGGGAACCCUGUGGUCCAAAAAGCUGGUACUCGAUGCCCAAAAAUUUGGUCUUAGAAAGCUAUGAGAGAGGGAUACAUUAUGUGGCGACUAACAAUACACAACUUCGAGUAUGGAUGCUAAUCGAAUUGGCGGAUGGACAAUUAAGUUGGACAUUAUCACAUGACGCCAACCUCAACUUGCAUGGCCAUAUGAUUUGCACUCUUAAAAUACAGCCCAAGGUGACAUGGAGGAUUGUUGGAAGCAGCGGCGGACCAGUUAGCUUGACCGAUAAUGAUGCAGUGGACGAUUGGGCCACACCGUAUCACUCUGAAUAUUCCUGGAACUCGGAUGGGGACAACUUCAUCGACAUGGUUGGAGGCGCCGACCACCAUGAGUUGGUAGAACAGCAUGCCUACUGCUAUACAUUGGGAUUCCAUCCGCACAAGAAUGCACUCAUCCUCAUUCUUAACGGCGCGGUGGUAGUGUACCAUCUUGACACGUCGAGGAUACAGUAUCUAGGCGACGGGGACGAGUUUUGUAAAGACUGCACGGGACCAGCUUGCUGCAUCGAGGAUUCGUUCAUUUACCGACCUUGCUAUAAGGACAUACUGCCAAGCAGGAAAUUAUCCAUGCCACUUUAG
rnacentral:rRNA from 1 species